GAUCGGUCCAAGCGCAGUGAUGUCCACAACUCGUUAAUCACAGCCAGUUAGGAUGUCUGUUGUUUCUCUGCUCUUACUGCUUCACUUGACCAGCCUUAA
rnacentral:Y_RNA from 1 species